rnacentral:lncRNA from 1 species
CUAAAAAAGCAUGACCUAGAGAUGAAUCUGAGAGUGUGACUGUAACAUCUUUGGGCAAGUUGUCAGAAAGUUCAAUGGCAGUUCCUCAGAGGAGUAUUCGGUCACACAAAAUACAUUAUAAAGAGAAGCUUAAGGACUUUUAUUUAAGACAUUUGUGAGCCUGGUUUUUGUCUAAUGGAAUAAACCCCGAUAAGAUUCACAGGAGGCCCGCAAGGUGACAGUACACAGUGAAAAGAGAUUGGUGGACUCCCUUAUGCCCCCACAAUUAUACUGUCAGUAAGCAACAUGAGAGAAUUACUCAGCUGAGAACAAGUGUUACUCUUCACGAAAAAUAAAUGACUCAGGUGGCAGAUCUAAAAGUCCAGAUAGAGAUGCAGAGAGCCAAUGAAGAUUAUGAGACCUAAGGAAGGAACUUGCAACAUGUGCCAAUCGGACUCAAGCUGAUGAGACACUGAUAGUCAUGGAGACAGAGAGAAAAGGGAACACAGUGAAGAACAAGCUGGCUCUUAAAACUUUUGUUGACAGUUUUAAGACAGUUGACUUGUGCUCGCAUUUCACUGGCCAGAACAAAUUGUAGCAAACCACAUCUACAAACGUGAAGAAACGCAAUUCUGCCAGGUGCUCCAAAAUUUAGAGAACAGAAUAUUGGUAAACAACUCUAAUGACUACAGUACUAGCACUUGAAGAUAGAGCUCUUAGAUUAUGUAAGAUCCACCAUAGAACCCAAACCUUCAGUAGCUUGGAGUUACUCCAAAUUCAACUAACGAAGGAUCUGUAACUAUUAACACGAGUACUGGAGAUAUAAAAAUUCAUUAUGCAUAAAAUAUUGCAAAGGCAGUAAAAAAAUACUAUGUAGUAUGGAGAAAGAAAAUUUGUACCACUGUCUUAUUGGGAUGAACUAUCUUUUAGGUGUCAACCUAAAUAACAGAGAGAGGCUCCCUAAAAGAAAAUGAUAUUUAUUCAAAGAAUAAGGUAUUGCAAUGGAGAUAUGUAUUUCAUAGUAAACUAUAUGCAUGUUCAGGGAGGUAAAGCAAGAUAAAAGUUUUUAAAGGAAAAAAUGAGGAGGGUAACAUAACUGUUUUGAGAUGAUUAUUCUUGGCUGUAAGGACCAAUAACAAGGCUGGCACCAAUUCAUGUUUGAACAAACAAUUGUUGGGCAGAUGUUUUGCCAAAGUAU